GAGCAAAUUACAAAAAUAAAAUGUCUUUCCAAUUAACAAAAUUGAAGAAAAAUACAGAAAAUACAGAGUAUCUACCAACUCAUACAGAAUAAACAUGAAAAAGAUAGGAAAUAGAUUAACCAUUGCAAAGAAGGGCUCUUGGUGGAUGAGAAUGGAGGAGGAGAAAGAGAGACAUGGAGAGAGUGGAUUCAUCAAGGAUAGAAACCAGUGCAAGCCGACGAUUAACCACGGCAAAAG
rnacentral:lncRNA from 1 species